CUCGUCGCCGUCUGAGACGCUCAGAAAAGGUGGUUCAGGUUAUUGAUUUGCGGACGAUUUCCUCGUUUAUCCCCACGUGCAGCAGCUGGAGCCCCUCGGGAUUAAGGGCCCGCGCGGCCGCUUAUUUGACCUUCAGCUUGACCUUGGCGUCGCCUCGCGUGUGCCGCUCCAUCUUUUGGCUCCUCUCAGAUGCAGUUGGAUUUAAUGGAGCGCUUGUCUCCGCGAUGCGGAGUUGUAAUUAACUAUCUGAAAGCGCUCCAUAAUCACAUCAGCUGGCAUGAUUUGUUGUGAGUCCUCCUCAAUGUGAAAUUAUGCUAAUGAGCAGUUUUUUUUAUUUUAUUGUCUUUGGCGGUUAGGGUUAGGGUCUGGCGUUUGUGCGAGUGGUUCGGUGGGAAAAACAGCUUUGUGAUUUACUUGCUGAAUGUGUUAACAAAAUGACUGAAUAUCAGUAGAAUAAUUGAAGCGUCUCCAUGGGGACUAAAAAUUGGAGCAAGGCCUCAAACAUUUUUUAGGCAUCAGCUCCUGUUGAGGGAGCACAGCAGGGGGUGUGGGACCAAUUACGGUUUGUACUAAAGGAUCGUUGUGGCUGUUUGAAAGGGACCAGACGGCGAAGGAGCCCGAGUGACGGGGGAAAUGAGUCUGCAUUUUGCAUCGUGGUCUUCGGCGCUGCCUGUUCUGCCAACAGGUGGCAGUGUUAGAGAGCCUGGCUAACACCCGGCUCAUCAGGAGGCUCCUCACAAAUAAGGGAUUUGACACAGUCUCAUUUCACACAGGAUUUAGUCAAGGCAGUUACUUUUUUCCUGCACAGGUUCAGAAGAAUAUGAAUAAAUUAUAAUGUGCAUCAUUUAAGGAUAAUAAUUACAAUUCACACCCACAAAUCACUUGAGUUUGUUGAUGUUGCACACCUAAUCCUAAGGUGCUAUGAUGUCAGCCGGCGUUGCCAUGGCGACCGCCCUGUUACUCGUGGUCCGCCAGCCGCCUCUCGUCCUCGUCCAGCCCUCCCUCUCCAGUUCCUCCGUUUCUUUCAUUUCCCGAGCUCCGCUCAUCAAAAGACCGGCCAGCAGAGCGAGUGGACGACAGCGCGGCGGCAACACGGGUUUAUUUGUCAUUAGAGGUCAUUACACCGACUUCUUCCUCUGUUUGUGAUAAACCAACGUAAAAGUGGCCGUCGCCUUAAAGUGUGGCUGACCCA
rnacentral:lncRNA from 1 species